rnacentral:rRNA from 1 species
UACGUAGGGUGCAAGCGUUGUCCGGAUUGAUUGGGCGUAAAGAGCUCGUAGGCGGUCCGUUACGUCGGGAGUGAAAACCCGGGGCUCAACCCCGGGCUUGCUUUCGAUACGGGCAGACUAGAGUAUGGCAGGGGAGACUGGAAUUCCUGGUGUAGCGGUGAAAUGCGCAGAUAUCAGGAGGAACACCGGUGGCGAAGGCGGGUCUCUGGGCCAUUACUGACGCUGAGGAGCGAAAGCGUGGGGAGCAAACAGG